GAUGAACGCUAGCUACAGGCUUAACACAUGCAAGUCGAGGGGCGGCACUAGGUAGCAAUACUGAGGUGGCGACCGGCGCACGGGUGCGUAACGCGUAUCCAACCUUCCCGUUACUCUUGGAUAGCCUUCCGAAAGGGAGAUUAAUACAAGAUGGUAUUCAAAUUCCGCAUGUUAUUUGAAUUAAAGAUUUAUCGGUAACGGAUGGGGAUGCGUGACAUUGGAUAGUAGGCGGGGUAACGGCCCACCUAGUCUACGAUGUCUAGGGGUUCUGAGAGGAAGGUCCCCCACACUGGAACUGAGACACGGUCCAGACUCCUACGGGAGGCAGCAGUGAGGAAUAUUGGUCAAUGGUCGGAAGACUGAACCAGCCAAGUAGCGUGAAGGAUGAAGGUUCUAUGGAUUGUAAACUUCUUUUAUACGGGGAUAAAACCUCCCACGUGUGGGAGCUUGUAUGUACCGUAUGAAUAAGCAUCGGCUAACUCCGUGUCAGCCGCCGCAGUAAAAC
rnacentral:rRNA from 1 species